UACGUAGGGACCGAGCGUUGUCCGGAAUCAUUGGGCGUAAAGAGCGUGUAGGCGGCUUGCUAAGUCUUGCGUGAAAUCCCGGGGCUCAACCCCGAGCGGUCGUGGGAAACUGGCAGGCUAGAGUGCGGGAGAGGAGAAUGGAAUUCCUGGUGUAGCGGUGAAAUGCGCAGAUAUCAGGAAGAACACCCGUGGCGAAGGCGGUUCCCUGGAACGCAACUGACGCUGAGACGCGAAAGCGUGGGGAGCAAACAGG
rnacentral:rRNA from 1 species